rnacentral:rRNA from 1 species
UUCCCUAGGUACGGCGAGUGAAAGCGGGAAGAGUCCAAGUUGGUAAUCACCAUGGCCUCGCUAUGUGUGAAUUGUAGUCUGAAGGGAUGUGACCGGUAGGACCGCUGCGCAAAGUCGCAUGGAAAGGCGCGUCAUGGAGGGUGAGAACCCCGUGUAUGCGUGGCAGUGUCCUACGGAAGGCACGUUUCCGACGAGUCGAGUUGCUUGGGAAUGCAGCUCUAAGUGGGUGGUAAAUCCCAUCUAAGACUAAAUAUGGACAGGAGACCGAUAGCGAACAAGUACUGUGAAGGAAAGAUGCAAAGAACUUUGAAAAGAGAGUGAAAGAGUACCUGAAAUCGCUGAAAGGGAACCGGUUGGCACUGCUGAAGGAGGCGUGCACCCUUUGAGCCAAGGCAUAGCUUUGGUUCGGGGGUGUGUCUCUGGCCAGCAUGAGUUACAUCUGCAGGACAUGAGUCAAGAGGAGGCAGUUCGGGUCCUGGUCCGCCAGGGUGCCUGUUCUUUGUAACUCUUGGCAUCUGCUGUGGAUGUGACUGAGGCAUGCCGCAAUGCGUGAGGAUGCUGGUGCAAAGGUGUCCACCGACCCGUCUUGAAACACGGACCAAGGAGUCUAACGUAUGUGCAAGUCAGUGAGUGUCAAACUCAUGUGGCGCAAUGAAAGUAAUUGAGUGGGACCCUGGUGUUCGCACUAGGUGCACCAUUCGCCGACCCUAAUUCUACGGAUGUGAGGUUUGAGUGGGAGCAUAUAUGUUGGGACCCGAAAGAUGGUGAUCUAUGCCUGAGUAGGGCGAAGCCAGGGGAAACCCUGGUGGAGGCUCGAAGCGGUUCUGACGUGCAAAUCGAUCGUCAAACUUGGGUAUAGGGGCGAAAGACUAAUCGAACCAUCUAGUAGCUGGUUCCCUCCGAAAUUUCCCUUAGGAUAGCUGCAACAGAAUCCCAGUUUUACGAGGUAAAGCGAAUGAUUAGAGGCCUCUGGGACGAAAUGUCCUGGACCUAUUCUCAAACUUUCAAUGGGUAAGACGUGCAACUUGCUUGAUUGAAUUUGCAUGAUGAAUGGAAUGUUGUUAGUGGGCCAUACCCGGUAACCGGCUCUGGCGAUGCGGGAUGAACCGAACGUGGUGGUAAAGCGCCGGACUGUCCGCUCAUGAGAUCCCACAAAGGGUGUUGGUUCAUCCAGACAGCAGGACGGUGGCCAUGGAAGUUGGAACCCGCUAAGGAGUGUGUAACAACUCACCUGCCGAAUGAACUAGCCCCGAAAAUGGAUGGCGCUGAAGCGGGCGGCUUAUCCACCACCAUCAGGGCAAUGAAGUAAUGCCUUGAUGAGUAGGAGGGCGACAAGCUUGUGGAGCAGGUUAGGGCGUGAGCCCGACUGAAACAGGCUUGUGUGCAGAUCUUGGUGGUAGUAGCAACUAUUCAAAUGAGAGCUUUGAAGACUGAAGUGGAGAAAGGUUUGAUGUGAACUGCGGUGGGACAUCAGUGAGCCGGUCCUAAGAAGCAGGGUAAUUCUGUUGAAUGUGCGUGGUUCACCACGCCGAAUGCUUCGAAAGGGAACAUGGUUAAUAUUCCAUGGCCAGGGUAACCCCUUUACAUGUGCCAUUGCGGUAACGCGUAGGCCAGUUUCAGUACGUCAGCGGUGGCCCCGGGGAGAGUUGUCUUUUCUUGUUAACAAGUUGGCUUGGCCUGGAAUCGGUUUACCCGGCGAGAGGCCAAGGCACUUGGAAGAGCUCACGGAUGUUUCGUGAGUCCGGUGCGCUACCGACGGCCCUUGAAAGUCGUGAAACUGGAGUUUUGGCACAGUCCUGUCCGUACUCAUAACCGCAUCAGGUCUCCAAGGUGUGCAGCCUCUAG